GUACUUGUAGUGUAAACAAACACGUUACCUUUUCACGGUAAAAAUAUAAAUAUAUUAUUAAGUAUU
rnacentral:tRNA from 1 species